CGUAGGGUGCGAGCGUUGUCCGGAUUUAUUGGGCGUAAAGAGCUCGUAGGCGGCUCGUCGCGUCGACCGUGAAAACCCGCGGCUUAACUGCGGGCUUGCGGUUGAUACGGGCGGGCUAGAGUUCGGUAGGGGAGACUGGAAUUCCUGGUGUAGCGGUGAAAUGCGCAGAUAUCAGGAGGAACACCGGUGGCGAAGGCGGGUCUCUGGGCCGAUACUGACGCUGAGGAGCGAAAGCGUGGGGAGCGAACAGGAUUAGAUACCCUGGUAGUCCACGCUGUAAACGUUGGGCGCUAGGUGUGGGGGGCCUCUCCGGUUCUCUGUGCCGCAGCUAACGCAUUAAGCGCCCCGCCUGGGGAGUACGGCCGCAAGGCUA
rnacentral:rRNA from 1 species